rfam:Rhizophagus irregularis DAOM 197198w jcf7180003182223, whole genome shotgun sequence.
CCGGCAAUAGCUCAGUUGGUAGAGCGGGAGACUGUAGUGCAACUGUUAUCUCUAGGUCGCUAGUUCAAAUCUGGCUUGCCGGA